rnacentral:lncRNA from 1 species
GACGUCAGCGCAAAAGUUGAGAGUGGUUGCCAGGUUGAGUAUUUUCCCGCUGAUUGUGAGAUUAUAAAAUAACAAACUUACUGAAUAAACAGUGAAUAACGUUGGUUAAAUGUGAUAUUUAUGUUUUAUUUGGAUGAUGAACGGAUGGUUUUUGUUGCAUUUCUGUGGAUAUUCAACAUAUUUCAUGCGGGGAAUCGUCGGUUGUAUCUGGCAACCAGCUAGAGUCAGGAACAAAGCAGUGAAAUGGAGGACGGACAGAGCUGGAUGAUGACUACCGUUAAACUAGAAGAAGAAGAAGAAAAGGAACAAAUAUUAUUGAGGGAAGUGAAGCUGAGUAUGAGUAAGACGGACAGUGAUGAUGAUGAUGAUGAUGAAGGCUGCAGGAGGAAAGCUGUGCUGGAGGAGCUUCGUCAUCCCGACCAUGUGUGGGACGGAAUGUUUGCUCCAAAGAUGGAGAAAAGCGGAGAAGAAGAAACGGAGGAGUUUUCAGAUGUGUGCUCUGUGAAGGAAGAGGGACCCUGGCAAGUGAUGUCUUCUUCCAGGCCUAUCUUUUGGAUGGGCUAUCAAGUUGGAAUGAGGACCGGGCUGUGGCAGCAUCAAAGGAUGAGCAGUCGUGCUCAUACAACCAUCUGCUCCGUCAUGCUGCUAACACCCUAG